UACGGGGGGAGCAAGCGUUGUUCGGAUUUACUGGGCGUAAAGGGCGCGUAGGCGGCCACCGCAAGUCAGUUGUGAAAGCUCUGGGCUUAACCCAGAAAGGUCAACUGAUACUGCGGGGCUAGAGUGCAGAAGGGGCAACUGGAAUUCUCGGUGUAGCGGUGAAAUGCGUAGAUAUCGAGAGGAACACCUGCGGCGAAGGCGGGUUGCUGGGCUGACACUGACGCUGAUGUGCGAAAGCUAGGGGAGCGAACGGG
rnacentral:rRNA from 2 species